rnacentral:rRNA from 1 species
AUUGAACGCUGGCGGCAGGCCUAACACAUGCAAGUCGAGCGGAUGAAGAGAGCUUGCUCUCUGAUUCAGCGGCGGACGGGUGAGUAAUGCCUAGGAAUCUGCCUGGUAGUGGGGGACAACGUUUCGAAAGGAACGCUAAUACCGCAUACGCCCUACGGGAGAAAGCAGGGGACCUUCGGGCCUCGCGCUAUCAGCUGAGCCUAGGUCGGAUUAGCUAGUUGGUGAGGUAAUGGCUCACCAAGGCGACGAUCCGUAACUGGUUUGAGAGGAUGAUCAGUCACACUGGAACUGAGACACGGUCCAGACUCCUACGGGAGGCAGCAGUGGGGAAUAUUGGACAAUGGGCGAAAGCCUGAUCCAGCCAUGCCGCGUGUGUGAAGAAGGUCUUCGGAUUGUAAAGCACUUUAAGUUGGGAGGAAGGGCAGUAAGUUAAUACCUUGCUGUUUUGACGUUACCGACAGAAUAAGCACCGGCUAACUCUGUGCCAGCAGCCGCAGUAAUAC